rnacentral:rRNA from 1 species
GUACGGAGGUGGCAAGCGUUGUUCGGAAUUACUGGGCGUAAAGGGCGCGUAGGCGGCUUGGCAAGUCAGAUGUGAAAGCCCCGGGCUUAACUCGGGAAUUGCAUCUGAAACUGCUUUGCUUGAGUCCUGGAGGGGGUAGCGGAAUUCCCAGUGUAGCGGUGAAAUGCGUAGAUAUUGGGAGGAACACCUGUGGCGAAGGCGGCUACCUGGACAGUGACUGACGCUGAUGCGCGAAAGCCAGGGGAGCAAACGGGAUUAGAUACCCCGGUAGUCCUGGCUGUAAACGAUGGGCACUUGGUGUCGGGGGUAUUGAGUCCCUUGGUGCCGGAGUUAACACGUUAAGUGCCCCGCCUGGAGAGUACGGUCGCAAGACUGAA